ACUCCCAAAAUGGUGAGUAGCAGCAGGGACAGGGUAAAUCACUGUUCCGGGACCCUGCUGUACACUGGACACUUGGCUCUUGGGCACUUGAGGAGAUCCAGCACUGUAGGGUGGGCCUGAUAAUCAUUCCUGUCCCCACACUUUCCACAGGAGGUGAUCAUUAUGGAAGAUAUCUCGCUGCUGAGGGUGAGCAGGGAAUCAAAGGACGGUCUUCUCUAAGCCUGCGACUUCUGCCCUGGCCCUAUGUUAAUGAGGCAAGAAACAAAGCAGCUGUGCCGAGGAACAUGUGGGAGUGGACUGCCCAGUAUCUCCACGAGAGUUUCCUGGAGAUCUCUGAGAGAGAUUCACAUGAACUGAGGGAGUGUAUCAACAGCCUGUUCCGUAUGAUGAAAGCCUGCUUUCUGCAACCCUCCCGCCCCCAACUCGCUUCAGCAAUUCCCAAAGUCAGAUUCACUUACCAGGGGCCUCCUCUCCUGUUUGUGCUUCACCAGUAUCCGACUGCUUUGACUGACUAAGCUCCUCCGGGGUAGAAAAGAGCUCCUGACUGCAUGCAUCUCUGGCCUCAGAGUCAUCCUCUGCCUCUGGUUCCCCCUCACCCUCUUCAUCCAAGAUUGCCUCCUCCAAGCCAACGAAAUAUCCACAAGGGACUUGGCAGUGGAGGUGGGGUCACCACCGUAUGUCUCGUCCAGCUCUUUGUAGAACCGGCAGCUGGUGGGCGUAGCUCCAGAGAGGCAGUUUGCCUCCUGCGCCUUGUGGGAACAAAUUGGCUGAGACUGAAGUGGUCAACGAAAUUGAAAAUGACCUGGCUGGCAGAGGGGAGGAGCUGCUAAGCUUGGAAUACCUGCCUGCCUGUAACCAGAGCCCUGGAGCUGAGUGGGACAGAGAGAUACUCCCCACCUCCCUGCACAUGGGGGAGGUGGCUCACACUGGCUCUGAUACUGAAAAGCUCCCUGAGCUCAUAGAUCUAGCCAGGGAGAACCUGGCCAGGGCCCAAGGGAGACAGAAGGUCUGGUACGACUGCUCAGCCGAUGGCACCAGGGACCAGGUGAGGGUUCUCAUCCUCGUGAAGACGAAUAAGCUGCAAGGUGCCUGGGACGGGCCCUUCAAGGUCAUCCAGCAGCUGAAUGAGGAGAACGAUGUGGUGGAACUGCCUAACUGGGCUCACAGCCACCGAGGGACCAGAUCAACAUGAUGGAGCUGUACUGUGACAGGGAGAGGCUGGUAAUGGCGGGGUGUGGCCAGUAGGAUAAGGGGGAACAUUCCCCUGGUGGGUUUCUUCCCUGAGACCAGAGUCUGCCCAUUGCUGGAAUCAGCUCCCCUCUCUGACCAGCUAAGCCUUGCCCAGUGGGUAGAGAUCAGAGCGAUGCUGCAUUUGUACCAACAGCUGUUUAUCAACCGGUCUGGACUCACUAACUGAGCUGUACACUGGGUGGAGACAGGAGUGUAAUGGGGGGAACAGCACAGGCCCUGUAGUGAGAGGUCAGAGACAUGCUGACUUUAGGGGUGGUCCAGCCAUCCACCAGCCCUGGGGGGGCCUAUCCCGUGGUGCUGGUCCCCAGGAAAGAUGGGUCGAUCCGAGUCUGUGGGGCCUAUCGGAAGCCAAUGCCAUCACCGUGUCUGGUGCCUGCCCAUACUUAGGCUUGAUGAGAUCGUAGACAAGUUGGCGAGGACUCGGUACCCCAUGACCAGGGAUUUCACCAAAGGCUACUGGCAGUUUCCUUACUACAAGUGGAUUAGCCUUUAAAUCGGCCUUUGGGGUGGACACAAUUCGACGGUAUUGGCCUCUGGGAGCUAUCCCAGAGUGCUCCAUUGUGACCACUCUG